rnacentral:rRNA from 1 species
GAUGAACGCUAGCUACAGGCUUAACACAUGCAAGUCGAGGGACCGGCGCACGGGUGAGUAACACGUAUACAACCUGCACUUGACUCGGGGAUAGCCUUUCGAAAGCAAGAUUAAUACCCGAUGUAAAGGAGGGGGAUGAGUUCCAUUAGGUUGUUGGUAAGGUAACGGCUAACCAAGCCUUCGAUGGCUAGGGGUUAGGAGAGUAAGGUCCCCCACAUUGGAAUUGGGCCACGGUCCAAACUCCUACGGGAGGCAGCAGUGAGGAAUAUUGGUCACUGGGCGUUAGCCUGAACCAGCCAAGUAGCGUGAAGGAUGAAGGGUUAUGGGUCGUAAACUUCUGUUAUAUAAGAAUCUGUAUUAGAUGAAUAAGGAUCGGCUAACUCCGUGCCAGCCGCCGCGGUAAUAC